UACGCUACUCAAGUCAGGGAGGGUGCAGGCACGUCAAACUCGAACAAAAUACGCCUACCUACCAUGCAUCGAGCGCGCUUUCCCAAACAACACAAUGCGAUUUCGCGGACCAUCCCCAUCGGCAACACAAAUUAAUUUCCAAGCAGGAUUCGACCAAGCCCAGGACGCGGUGUCAGUCGACAUUAACACACCCACAAAAGAUAAGCAGCAGGCGCCGCUUGCGGAUUCUCUGACUCAAAUAGACAGUGGACAAAUGAACCGCUUUGUAUUACAGUUGCCCCUACCAGCAUAAAUAUGACAACGACGCUCAUGAGUGUAUGGCAGUUUUUAGAACAGUUUACACGACAGCAGCUUUUGUCAAAAUGCACACCGUUAAAUCGAAGAAAAAUGAAAACAAAUCAAAAGUGACUGCUUCAUUCUAAAUUUCUUCCGAAAAAGUUAUCGCGUAAUCAUUAAUUUUCAGCUUUGCUCAUCUCCCCAAACACUUAAGGAAGAAAACCAUCCUCAGAUCCAGUUCAAGGCUCACGAGAACUUUUCCAGCUAGCGCAGCAUCCGUGUUUGCACUACAGCGAUCUAUUUCAGACGUUUGGCUAUGAAAAGUAAUAUCGACGCCUUGUAUGGAAUGACACACUUGGCCCUGCAUAUCAGAAUUAUGGUCAAGGACCUUUUUUUUUGAAUGGGAUCGGUAAUAGCGAUUACGUCGAACUUGUCAUCCCGCUACAAUCGUUCAACCAAGAGGAAUCACAGCAAGCUUCGCCGGCCCCGAUGUGUCAACGUUAGAGGGGUACCGCUCGGAAUAAUGACUGGGAAACCCGAACUUAGGAAAAUAAGAAAAACAAACUGCAUGGAAAAUAAAUUUUGCUCUACUUUCGCUUCCUGAGGGCUGGCAUCAUCGAUGGCAUUGAUCCGUUUCUUUCUACAUACCACCGCGAAAUGACCGAAGGAACCACAUUCGUGACACUUAAGUCUCAAUGCCGGAC